rnacentral:ncRNA from 1 species
CGUAUGGUGUGCAACUUCGGGUUGUAUAGCGAUGCGGCCUACAUUUAAAGGU